GUCCGCCAUCUUGGAUCUCCCUCAUGUACACAUUUACGUGGGAUAUAGGAGAGAUCAGGUAUCCAGCCCUCAGAGGCUCCUGUGUGACUUCAGGUGCUGUGGAGAGAAUGUGGGACAAAGGGAAAAGGAGAACAAAGCACUCAAGCAGUUUUCUUUCAGAUGAGACUCAAGGUAGGACCUGUGUCUGGUUCUGAGAUAAGACAUGAGGCAAAUAAAGGUGCUUGGCUUAUUUUUAGACCUACAAGUGUACUGUAUAACAACUUAGACAGCUGGAUGUAAAAAAUGUUCCUUCUCCUUUCUAAUCUCACAUUCGACUUCUAGUGUCAUGUGGUGACUUACAGUGUAACAUCAUGUGAUGCCCUUGAAGAAGAAAGAGGAUUUAAAAGUAGCCAAGGACAGUCAGGACUUCAGUAGUCAGCCUCAGCAAUUUAGAGAGGCCCUAAGGAACUUAGUGAGACCCUGUCUCAAAAAACAAAAAGGACAGGGGAUAUAAAUCAGUGGUAUAUUGCCGCUGGAUUCAAUCCCCAGUACCAUUUUUUUCUCUAAAGACAAUUAAGACUUUGCCUUGGCCUCCCUUCCUUUUUCCCUUCUCUCCCUCCCCCUGGCAGUGUUGGGAAUCAAAGCCAGGUCUUGCCCUCUACCACUUGUGCCUUCUACUACUGAGCUAAAUCACCCCCCAAAUCGUCCUUUAAAUUUUUCUAUUGCUUUCAAAUGCUUUGUACAUAGCACUAGGCUUUUAAAAGUAAGUUGUUAUUUUAAAAAAUUAAAAAUGUAAAUGAACUUGUAAAUUGCUUCUGCUGGAUUAGAGAUUUCCAGUAAAAGAGAUGGAAUGAAGUGUUCCCUCAAACCCUUGCUCAGACAAUGAGAAGAUAUGCAGAAACAUAAGAAACAAUGGAAAGCUCCCAGAAGUUCUCUGCAGAGCCUAGUGCAGCAAGACUUGCAGGUCUGUGACUUUUGUCAGAAUGUGUGCCACCCACCCCAUGGUGGCUUCAGGAAUGAAAUGGCCAUGGAAAACUGCAUGGUAAAGAUGCCAGAGGCCAGAGAAGAGAGGUCAGGGUUCAAAGUGCAGAGGGAAACUCAAGUCCUGAAGGCAGGACCGAGGCCCAACUGUCCGGUAGAAACUGCCCAGAUCUCUAGUUGACUGUUAAUAAGCUCACUCCAGACAGACAGGGCAGACCCCAGGAAGCCCAGCAAAACACACAAAAGUAAAAACCAACCAGCCAACUAAAGAAAUAGGAAAAAGUGAUCACAACCAAGAGAGGAAUCUACCCUUGAAAAAAACUAAACCAGAUGAGAUAUAUGUUUAAUGCUUUAAAAAAAAAAAAAACAAAAAACACUGUGUGUUCUUU